CCAAUCUCCCACCCGUGUCUACCACACCUAGUGUUGCUUUGGCGGGCCCACUCCUCCGGUGUUCCGCCGGGGGGGUCGUCCCGGGGCGCGGUGUGCCCCCGGGGCCCGUGCCCGCCAGAGGCACUCACUGUGAACGCUUUUGUGAAUGCGAGGAUUGUCUGAGUGACGAAAUGCAAUCGUUCAAAACUUUCAACAAUGGAUCUCUUGGUUCCGGCAUCGAUGAAGAACGCAGCGAAAUGCGAUAAGUAAUGUGAAUUGCAGAAUUCCGUGAAUCAUCGAAUCUUUGAACGCACAUUGCGCCCUCUGGUAUUCCGGGGGGCAUGCCUGUCCGAGCGUCAUUGCGAACCCUCAAGCACGGCUUGUGUGUUGGGCCGCCGUCCCCUCGUUUGGAGGGGACGGGCCUGAAAGGCAGCGGCGGCGUCGCGUCCGGUCCUCGAGCGUAUGGGGCUCUGUCACGCGCUCAAGGAGGGGUCCGGCCGGGGCCAUAGCCUCUGAAGGUCAAUUCUUCCAAGGUUGACCUCGGAUCAGGUAGGAGUACCCGCUGAACUUAAGCAUAUCAAAAAGG
rnacentral:rRNA from 1 species